GUGACAACCAGGUGCUGCUUUUGAGGGCAGCACCUGCCUUUAGCUGGGUGCAGAACAGAAUGAAGGGCGGUUUCCAGCCUGGUGCCAAUCCCUGCCUCCCCAGCCUCCUUCUCUUUGCUUCUGUCGCCUUCCGGGCUCCCUGGGGAGCAGGAGAAGGUGGGAGGAGAGCUGAGAGCCACCGGGUAAGGCGGACAACUCCCCGGGAGCAGCUUCAAUCGCAGUCCAGCUGCGAGCAGACAUGCGGGUCUUCCACCGAGACUGGCUGCUGCCCUGGGUGCCUCUCGGCAUCCUGGCAGAGAGGGGCUGGGAGCAGUUCCAGGUUCCUCUAAAGGAGGUGAAAUGCACGUAAAGGCAUGUCACAGACUCAGCAUGCAGGACUGGCUUCCCGCGAGGUGGACGGCAGUGGGAUGGGAGAAGGGGCAGAGAGGACCAGAUGGGAAGCAGGAAGAAACUGGGUGGCACCUGCCAGGAAGGUGAAGAAGCACGAAAAGGACAAAGACAAUAUGGAAUCUGCUGUAAAGAAAGGUCCUUCCCUGGCAGAUUAGAGAAUCAAUAAUUUAAAUACAACUCAUUACUCUUUACCUAACUGCAGCUUCUGAGUCCCCAGUGCCUCUGUCUCUAUGGUCCAACCCCCACCUCACUCCUCCCGGGGCUUCGCUCUCUAUCUUCUCAAGGCCUCCUGUCGUUUUGUGCUGAGCAUGAAGACUCCAACGUCAAAACAGGAUGGAUCAUGGGGACGGGCAGACUUGACUUUGCCUUCUUGAGCCUUGUGGCCCGAUAAUCCUAUAAGCUAUUGUGGGGGAGGGGGGUCAUGCUUUUCUUUUUUUCUUUUUUUCUUUUUUAAUAAAAAAAGUUUUACUCCCCAGGAGCAAAUAAAUCAUUUUGAACUACUGAUAAAACACUGCUGCAGUGAAAAGAAAGAUGGCUACAUGUAUGCAAUAGCACAAAUUCAGUGUAAGAACAGCUGUGUUGACAAUUAGAGAUAAAAAUCAUUUAUCCAUUUCCCCCUUUCCCACAAACCAAACCA
rnacentral:lncRNA from 1 species